rnacentral:lncRNA from 1 species
GUGGUUGGAUGGUAUUCUGAAAAAUAAGAAAUAAAGGUUAAGGAGUGCCUGCCUUCAACCAGGCAGAGCAAGCCAGCUGUUCUGUGAUGCAAAGUGCUGAGACUGAGCUAUGCAGCUGUGUGUGUCUACAGUGAAGGAUCACCUGGAUGUUUCAGUGAUGAUGGUGUGGAAGCUACAGUGAGUGAGGAAGAGCACAAGAACAUUCCCCGACACAGAGCAAACUCUUUAAAUUCAGUGAAGGAACAUUAGCCUGGAGCUUCCCAUCAUCUCCAUUGACUGUUUCAAAGUAGACUCAGAUAAUGGCUUACUUCUGAGGAAUGUACACCAGAGGACUCAUUUAAGAUGGAGGAUAAUGCUUUCCCCUUUCAAUGCUACCAAGAUAAAAUGGAGGAGAUAGCUGAAGGAGACAGUAUAGGACAUUGAGGUGAGAUUAUUGGGUUGCUGAUGUAAGUGAUGGGAUGGGGCUUUUGAAUAGCUGUGGUUAUUUAAGGGAGGCUGAUGGAUGAGGACUCUUUAUUUACAGCCUGCAAAGAUGCUCUCCCACCCUUGCUGGAGAAGGCUUAAUUAUAUACACUGAGCUUUCCAGCUUCAUGGGAUAUAUGCCUUUCCUAGGAAGAUGGGCAUAUAACGAGGAAGCAGUUUUCCUCAUCACCACAUAGGAUCCUGAUGCUAUUAUAAUGUGACUACAUUGACAUUCAGACAAGCAGUACCCCUUAGCCUUCUCUGUGACUAGCUUCUACCUGCUUAUAAGCCCCAUCUUUAAGACAACUCCUCCCUGUGGUUCAAAAUAUUAACUCUCUGAUAUAAAUAUUGGA